ACCAGACUCCUACGGGAGGCAGCAGUGAGGAAUAUUGGUCAAUGGGCGCAAGCCUGAACCAGCCAAGUCGCGUGAGGGAUGACGGUCCUAUGGAUUGUAAACCUCUUUUGUCGGAGAACAAAACCCGGGACGUGUCCCGGACUGCGUGUAUCCGAAGAAAAAGCAUCGGCUAACUCCGUGCCAGCAGCCGCGGUAAUACGGAGGAUGCGAGCGUUAUCCGGAUUUAUUGGGUUUAAAGGGUGCGCAGGCGGCGCGGCAAGCCGGCGGUCAAAUCGCGGGGCUCACCCCCGCCCAGCCGUCGGAACUGCCGGGCUGGAGUGGGCGAGAAGUGCGCGGAAUGCGUGGUGUAGCGGUGAAAUGCAUAGAUAUCACGCAGAACUCCGAUUGCGAAGGCAGCGCACCGGCGCCCUACUGACGCUCAGGCACGAAGGCGUGGGUAUCGAACAGGAUUAGAUACCCGCGUACGC
rnacentral:rRNA from 1 species